UGGGGAAUAUUGGACAAUGGGCGAAAGCCUGAUCCAGCCAUGCCGCGUGUGUGAAGAAGGUCUUCGGAUUGUAAAGCACUUUAAGUUGGGAGGAAGGGCAGUAAGCGAAUACCUUGCUGUUUUGACGUUACCGACAGAAUAAGCACCGGCUAACUCUGUGCCAGCAGCCGCGGUAAUACAGAGGGUGCAAGCGUUAAUCGGAAUUACUGGGCGUAAAGCGCGCGUAGGUGGUUCGUUAAGUUGAAUGUGAAAGCCCCGGGCUCAACCUGGGAACUGCAGCCAAAACUGGCUAGCUAGAGUAGGGCAGAGGGUGGUGGAAUUUCCUGUGUAGCGGUGAAAUGCGUAGAUAUAGGAAGGAAAACCAGUGGCGAAGGCGACCACCUGGGCUCAUACUGACACUGGGGUGCGAAAGCGUGGGGAGCAAACAGG
rnacentral:rRNA from 1 species